UACGUAGGGUGCGAGCGUUGUCCGGAAUUAUUGGGCGUAAAGAGCCCGUAGGCGGCCUGUCGCGUCGGAUGUGAAAGCCCGGGGCUUAACCCCGGGUCUGCAUUCGAUACGGGCAGGCUAGAGUGUGGUAGGGGAGAUCGGAAUUCCUGGUGUAGCGGUGAAAUGCGCAGAUAUCAGGAGGAACACCGGUGGCGAAGGCGGAUCUCUGGGCCAUUACUGACGCUGAGGAGCGAAAGCGUGGGGAGCGAACAGG
rnacentral:rRNA from 1 species